GACGAACGCUGGCGGCGUGCCUAAUACAUGCAAGUCGAACGCAGUUGCGAACGGGUGAGUAACGCGUAGGUCAAUGCCUCAAAGCAGGGGAGAACUAUUUGAAACGAUAACUAAUACCGCAUUCUGUGAGAUGGACCUGCGUUGUAUGAGCUAGUUGGUGAGGUAAAGGGUCACCAAGGCGACGAUACAUAGGCGACCUGAGAGGGGGAGCGGCAACAGUGAGAAGGAUGAAAGGCCCAGAACCCGACGGUAAGCAGCAGUAGGGAAGCUUCGGUAAGGGACGGAAGUCGGACCGCGCAAAGCCGAGGGAGUGAAGAAGGUGUUCGGAUCGUAAAGCUCAGUUGAUAGAGAAGCGGUAACUAGCGAGAAAGGGUCGGCUAAGUCCGUGCCAGCAGCCGCGGUAAUUC
rnacentral:rRNA from 1 species